ACUCAAAUGAAUAGACGGGGACCCGCACAAGCAGAGGAUGAUGUGGUUUAAUCCGAUGCUACGCGUAGAACCUUACCAAGGUUUGACAUCCUAGGAAUCCGCUGGAAACAGUGGAGUGCCUUCGGGAACCUAGUGACAGAUGCUGCAUGGCCGUCGUCAGCUCGUGUCGUGAGAUGUUGGGUUAAGUCCCGCAACGAGCGCAACCCUUAUCGUAUGUUGUAUUUUUCAUACGAGACUGCCCGGGCCAACCGGGAGGAAGGUGGGGUCGAAGUCAGGUCUGCAUGGCUCUUACACCUUGGGCUACACACGUCAUACAAUGGCCGGUACAACGCGUUGCCAAAUCGCAAGAUGGAGCUAAUCGUACCAAAACCGGUCCCAGUUCGGAUUGCAGGCUGCAACUCGCCUGCAUGAAGUCGGAUUUGCUAGUAAACGUGGGUCAGCAUACCACGUUGAAUACGUUCCCGGGUCUUGUACACACCGCCCGU
rnacentral:rRNA from 1 species